rnacentral:rRNA from 1 species
AAACUGAAGAGUUUGAUCAUGGCUCAGAUUGAACGCUGGCGGCAGGCUUAACACAUGCAAGUCGAGCGGGGAAGUGUAGCUUGCUACCUAACCUAGCGGCGGACGGGUGAGUAAUGCUUAGGAAUCUGCCUAUUAGUGGGGGACAACAUUCCGAAAGGAAUGCUAAUACCGCAUACGUCCUACGGGAGAAAGCAGGGGAUCUUCGGACCUUGCGCUA